CUUCCCAAGUCACUGUUGGGUGUGAUGGGGCCCUGCUUUCCUGGGGAUGGCUGAACACCUGCCUGUCCACGGAAAGCAGUGAAUGACUUCCUUGUUUUGCAUUGCUUGCGUGCGCUGCUUUUGCUUUCCCUACUAAAGUGUCUUUAUCUCAGAAAACUCUUAUGAGUUACUCAUUUUUACCUUUCCAAUUCUCUCCCCUAUCCCACCAGAGGAGUGACUGUGUGGUGCUUAGUUGCUGGCUGGAGUUAAAAUGUGACAGCUUGAAAGGCUGUGAAGGAAGAAUAACCCAUUUGAGUCAGUUCACCUAUAUUCAGAAUAAUAUAUUGAAGCUAUAAAAAGAAAAUGACUAAACUCACUGGUGUAUAUGCAUGAAUUGUGCUAACAGACCUGGAUAUAGAAUAACUAGGAAGCGCUGAGUAAAAUUUUGCAGCUCUGACUAUUGCAAUUACCCCAAUGAUUUCAGGAAAGCAUCAACUAGUACAUGGAUCUAGUACAUGGAUCAGUACUCUUUUCUAUCUGUUGUUAGUCACAGCCUUGUGUAAGAUCGCCAAAAAAAGUAAUGGUGUACAAGGAGGGCAGUGUCAUGAGGUACUAGAAAUGCUACUGCAACCUAAAGAAAGAUUGCCUUACAUCACUGUGUCCUGAAUACCCUUACCCCCCAAUGUCAAUAAUUUUUAUACACAAACAUUUACAUUGUGCCUAUCAAUUUUCUUCCUCCCUUUUACUAUUGUUAAGAAUUCAUAUUUUUAAACUUCACAUAUAAUUUUCUCUGCCUGGAUUUUGGACGAGCACUGCAUCAUGUUAAACUCUGCUUUGCUAUUGAUCUUAAAAAAACCUGGCAUAGUGCUUUAGCAGAAAGAAAGAUUGUACUUCUUAUGAAAAGACUUUUUUUCCCAAAACGUCCUCUUACGUCUUUUUAAAAGAACUUUUCAUAAUUGAUUCUGAGGGUAAAAGAGCAGCAUGGUAUUGCAUAUUAGUUGGAGAGUAGAAUUGAGUCAACUAAAAAUAUAUUGAGCUGGAAUGGUGAAAAAAAUUACAGGCCAGGUAUUAAUGUGAGUAAUACUGAACAUGUAAAUUAAAGAGCUGUUGAAGUCAAAUAUGCUGAGCUCUGGACAUCUCUCCACCUUUUCAGUGGACUGGAGCCUGGAUCCUCUGUGAGCUUACACAGCUGUGUUGUGCUGAGAUACGGUAAAGAGCUCAGUCACAGUGAUUUAUUGACUCAAAAUCAGAAGGAGAAUCUUUGAAAUGGCCACUCAGCUGAAGAAGCCAGACUGGCAACAUCUGUAUCUUCCCACUUGAAAACCUCACCUGUUGCUUGCUCCUACAGAGUACCUGGAAACACUGACCACUCACUUUGCCAGUUGAAGACCCAGUCAACUCUGCUGGAAGCCUGGGAUCAUGGAUAAGGAGACAGGCUAUACCACUGUGCUGCAAGUAUGGGAAGCAUGGAAUUAGUUUUGUGGCGGCUUCAAGGGGGGGAGCAGUCUGGCUUUUGGAAGGAGGAAAGGACGUCAUGAAUGCAGAAGAGCAUCUCCAUUACUUAGAAAGCCUGGGGACAUGUAGGAUUCAUCUCCCAUUUCUGCUGAAACUGGUGACCAAACUUGCCGUGGAUCAAGUGGAAGCAAGGUCAGGUGGUCAUCUUGUGAAAUCCUCUGGUCCAAUGCAUCUGGGGAAGCUGUAAACACACAGGACACAGUCUGAGGAGUCUAUUUACCACCAGUGGUGUAACCAGUGGUGUUCAGGACUGAUCCCAGCACAGCCAUUAUGGAGAGUCCAAGGCUGCUGCAAACCCCAGGAACAAAGGAAUUGCAUAUCGCAGCAGCAAUGCGGUCUUUGCCCAGAAGAGAUUUUCUUUAGGAGGGUGGAGGGUAGAAAUGAAAAACCUGAGGUCUGGCUCUGUAAUCUCCUUCUGCCUAUCUGCGGGCAGGUUACUCCCACUGUCACGCUGCUCUUGAAGUCUCUCCACAUCUACUCUAAGAGCUCCUGGGAGGAUGUGAUGCAGCACAGAGGCAGAGCAGCAUGAGCAAGCAGCGCCUCAUCCAGCACCCAGCACGCUUGUACAAGGCUAACCCACCAAGGAUUUUAAACAGGCGAAAAACAAUUUCUUCUGAUCUGAAACCUGGCUCAGAGGAUCCCUCACAGAGACCGAGUUUGAUAAUAUUCACUGAAGACAUUUUUGACUUAGAGAAAUACAAUAUAAAAUGGAGCCUGGCAGAUUCCUAAAGGAUGAAAUAACUGAAACUUUCACAGCCUUGUGCUCACCAUCAUGACCUUAUGUGCCAGAGAUGACCUUGAUACAGCCUUCACACAUGGAGAGGGGUCAGAUGCUCCAUGGAAGGAGGGAAAGGACAAGUGAAGAAGUCGUGUCAUCCCCAGAGACCAGGGCCUCUGCCAAGGAAGAGGGAUGCUGGUAGGGUUGUAGGAUUAGUGGGAGUAAGGACAAGGUUUCUGUAACAACUAUUAUCACUUUGAAGGGAAGAUGAGUUCGUGCUUCAAGGAGGAACAUCUCUGAUGCAAGCCCAGAUAAUCAGGAUUAUGGUCUUGAGGGGUUCUGGACCUUGUAUUGCCUUGAAGAUCAAAGCUGAAGGCCAGCAUGGCAAGGGAAGAGCAUCCUACAAGCACGAAGUGCUACCUCAGCAUGACCAACCCCAGAGGUUUAAUCAGUGUCACGCAGCAGUCCUCUCAAAGUAUCAAGGGAUUACUUUAAAAGCCAUGAGGCAUCCCACAUCCACAGCGGGAGGUGCACCAGGGGGAAGAGCCAUGUGAUGAAGAAGAGACAUGUCUAUCCAGACUGGCAAGCUGACGUUUCCAACAAUGCUGCCUUGUUGGGAUGUGGCAGUCUCCAACCGGGGAAAUGGAGUUUAACUGUGAAUAGCAAUGCCACGUGCUCCCAGGGCAAUUUUUCCAGGUCAUUUAGUGCAAAUAAGCAAAAACCCACAACAAAGUUAAAGGCAGCCCUUAGCCUAGCCACAACUAUGAGGGCAGUAGGUUUAGGAAUUGUUUUGCUUCCAGAGAUUCUAAAGGUUUGCAGAAAUUAACUGCAGUGUGUUGAUAUGAAGAUUUAUGAGAGGAUCAAGGAGAUAUGAAAAUGAAAGAGUCAACAAUAUCAGAGCAUGACAAGAGAUAGUGAAGUAUUUUAUUUCCAUUGCUUUCAAUUUUAUCUCUUGUGUGUUAGCAGGAAAUAAUCCAAGCAGGGAGACUGCAUAGCAGAGGUAUGGAAAAUAGAUGUGAUCAUUUUCCAUAGAAGCAAUGAGCACCACUCUAGAUAUUUUAUAACUUGCUAGUGUUUUAUGUCAUUUCUUCAGACAUCUGCGCAUUAGAGUGACUGAGAACUGCAAAUGAUGUAUAGUUAAGAUAUCCCCCUAUAAUUAAGCUGAAAUAAUGCUGGAUUAUUCUAGCAUAAUUAUAGGGGACUAUUUUAACUAUUAGCUCAUUAAAAAGCUAUGAUGCAAAUCUCAUUCUGAAAGAGACGAAAAAAUGAGGGUAUAUGAACAAAAUGUCAGUGGUCCUCUGCUGAGACCAGAUGGAGAGGUAUAACUGUAUUGCAUUUAUCAGUCAAUAUAUUUAAUUAUAGCCAGGCUUGGAUGGAGCCUACAAUGGCCUUUUAUUAUAUUUAGUGUUUGCAGAUGGAUGUGGUGAUUCAGAAAUGCUUGGGAAGGGAAUGUGGUACCUAUGCAAAAGGGUAGACUUUAGCUGAAUUUGGUCUGGGUUUCACAUGAAAUCCUGCCACGUGCUCCUCUCCAGAUGGGAGCUGUACUUUUUCCCACCUUGCCCUUCAGGUGUGGCACACAGGGCUCCAGAAUCUCCUGUGCCAGGCUGUGUGGUGGUGUUUGAGCCCCUCAAUGAGGCUGGCCCCAAGAAGCGUGCUGGGGAUCGCAGCUGCCACCAGCCCCACCAGAGCACGGGGCACUCGCCAGUGUCUAAUCUGCUUGGGGUCAGCACUGGUCAAGUGCUAUGAAGCAGCAAUGUUUGGGUAACAAAAGGGAGGCAGUCUGCUUGGCUGGUCGGGUUUCGGACAAAGGGCAUCCUGGAAAGGGAGCUGCCUGCCCUCACGUGCUCUCUUCCAGGGGACAGAAAGUUAUUCUCCUUUUUGUUAACUCCCUCUCUCCCCUGAAGGACCCCAAGGGGGCCAAGGUAUCCUGAGCAGCUGGACAGAGGAGUUAUUGCUCUGCCCCCUAGCACUUAUUUGAGCCCCAGCUUGGCUGUGCUAACCAGUGAAAAGCUGUCCUGGGACAAAUUCCUGAUCCUGCUGCGCUUGUGAAAACAAAGGUCUCUCUUGCCUGGCCCUGCUAUAGGGUGGGAUACAGCUGGGGCACAGUAAAACCAAACAUUGAAACUCCAUGUUUUGGACUUUCUAAGACCUCCAGGAUCAAUGAUCCUUCCAGGAUCAUUCUCUCUAGGGAAUGGGAUCUAUAUAUGUUAGGAUCAAUCCCUGGCCUGUCAUUGGGGUAUCACUUUACAAGGGUCAGGUUUUCCAUCCCAGUUCAGCCACUAAUGCUGCCUUUUUUACAGUGAUUUGCUUUGCAAAUAUGAUUGGGUGUGCCUGCUCUGCCCAAAGGGGCAUCUCAUCUCUGGCAUCUGACAGCAAGCGUCAGGGCGAAAUAAUAGACCAGAGGCUAAAUAAGAAGAAUGACUUCUUGCCCUCAAGCAUUAUGACAACAAAUGGUGAAGAACGUGCCCUCAGGGAAUAGUGAAAUGAAUGAGAUGAAUGCCUAAUGUCCAAUAACUACAUGUCAAAUCAAAGACCAGACUCUUAAAGCACGAAGUUGGCAGAGUCUGGUGAAUGAAAGAAGUAGAGAGUCAGCAGGGAAAUUUAUUGUUGCACAGGAUGGCACAGUAUGUAAAUCUUGCUGGAGAGCUAUUUGUGCUUGUUGUUGGCUUUUGAAGACUGGGUAAAGAAUGUAAGACUUCUGUUUUGUAGCAAAAUAGUGAAGGGGGAAAACCAACAAAAAGUCAGGAAUGGCAGUUCAGGUAAAACUGAGGUCAUGCCCAAGUCCCUUUGUGGUCUAGGACUCAGCUGUAUGUUGUAAUUUCUUUUUUUCCCCUCAGCUUGCCCCAUAGCUGGCUGCUCAGCUCAUGAGCAGCAGAGCAAGGCGACAUGAACAGGGAGAAUCCACAAGAAGUUGGGGACAUGGCACAGGCUAUUUUUUGCUUGACUGAAGGACUCAUGGCUAGAUGUUCUGGAUUUUAACCCAAUAAGCUAUAUUUAUUUAUUUUAAUUUGACUAAAACUAGAGAAAACUAAGAACAAGAUCACAAGCCCAGGUGAUUUGGCAGAAAGCAUUCACGUGUGCAUGUUGGGUGUGAGCAGCUGAAACAUGAAGUGGCUUAUGCUAAACUUGACAGUGCAGUGCUGCACCCUGAGUCUGCAGACCAGGUGGUGUGGAUACCUGCACCAAGGUCUGCAAAGAGCUUCAGAGGAUGUUGCUGCCCCAGCCCCCGGGAGCACGGCUCUGUGCUGCCCUGCCCUUGCCAAUGGGAAGAUAUUCCAUGGGAAAGUGGGUUUGGGGACCUGGAAGCACUGUCACUGGUGAGAUCCGCACCCAACGCCUCGGGAGCCACUGGGUGGCGUAUGAACGCUGGCAUACAUGAAGGAGCAGGAUCCAUGGAAAAAAAUCUACCCACAAAGCAGAAAUAUACAUCCAUAAUUAAGUGGGCUCUCUUUGGACCGGAGCGAGAGCAAGGGAAACCAACCUGGCCUACAUUAGGAAAGUGGUUACAAAUCAUGCUUCCUUUAACAAAUAAAAGUCCAGAUGAUCAAGUAUCAAAAAGUAAAGUUCAGAGGCUGUGAAAGCAAUCAGCUAAUGAAAAAUCACAGCACAGCUUUGCCUCUGCCAUGCAGGGUAAGAACAGGGGACUGCAGGGGUAACAGCAAUUGCAAAACCCUUCGGCAAACAGCUGCCCAAAAUCAUUCCCCGUGCUUAAAUACCUGCUGGCAAUGGGCAGUCAUUUGUGCCUUGCUCAGCUGGGCACUGGUGAUGCCACGGCCACAGUUAUCUCAGCUGUGCAGAGCCCCCAGGUGCUGAUGUGGCAGGAGCAUCGUGGGUUCCCCCCAUACAGCCCUGCUCAGUUUAGAGUUUUCAUUUCCUAUAGGAGCAGCCAUUCCCAGGACACUGCCUUUGCUCACAGGGGCUGACGACAGCUGGGUCACCAGCAGUUGGCUUUGCAAGCCAGCUAAAGCCAGGAGAGUGUUUUCAGCAGGAGUCAGGAGUUAGUAGUACUUCAACCCAGCACCCUCCAGACUCCCCAUGUUUUCCUCCCCCAUCCGGUUUGUCCCUGCCUGAUCUAUAACCCUUGCUGCAUUUCAUGGACUCCUUUCCCUCUGUUUGUUUAAUGUGAUUAAGAAAAUAUUCAUAAUGUUUCUAUUCCAGUUUUGCUUAUUGCCUAGAAUUCCUCCUGGAGAAAAGUAAGUUGUCCCAGCCUUGUGCAGCUGGACCUGUGAAUAUUGCAACAGAGAGAUGCUAGGAGGAUUUACUUGUUCCCAACAGGGUAAGGCCACAGAGUGACAGAGAACAGGAGACACUCCAAGCUGUGAUGAGCAUCUUGAGACACAUUUUAUCUGGUUUUACCAACUGUCCAUACAAAUGAACAAGAAGCCCUCUUUGAGGGACUUUCUCCUAUAAAUGCUGGGGCUGGAGCAGGAAAACAGUGGAACAGCACUAAGAUAAAUGAUACUAUUUUCAACUUAUUCAGAAAAGCAUUUGUUCUGAACACAACAGCAUCACUAUGAAUUCUCUUCAGAAUCUCUGAGAACUCCAUAUUAUAGACAUGAGGCACUGACAUACUUUCAUGCUGUUCAGGCACCACACAAGUGGCAAAAGACAGGAAAGUGCAGUUAUCAGCCAGGCUGGGGUUAUGUUUUCUUACCACACCUGGUGGUCUGCCUUCCCUCCUUUGUUGAGGUGGGAUCAUGAGGUAUAUCUGCUCUCAGCUGCCACUGGUUCAUCACUGCAAGCCACCACCAAGUCACUGGCAGGCAGUGAUUGUUUCCUGCCUGCAGAUGUCACAGGGGCAAGAGGGGGACUUCGGUGUGCAGGAGGGAAGGAGAAGCGGUUAAGCAGAGCAGAAUGAUGAUAGCCUUGAAACAUACUACUGAGUCCCCUCUAUCAGCUAAGUGAAUAGUUUUUUACCCAGCCUGGAGAAAAGAAGGAAAUUAGAGGUGAACAGUCCCCUGCAGAUUGUCCAUUCCCCAGUGAACCAUGGCUAGGAUGUCCUGCCCAGCUGUGGGAAGUUCAUGUCCCAGCUCCAUGACUCAGUGUCCCUCUGCGAGAGGGAGGUCAUUCCCACAAGGGCUGAAGUCCUCACUGCCUGUGACUGGUUUGUGAAACAUAAAAGGGAAAGUGCUCUGUGGCUUUUGUGAGUAUUGAGAGAGCAGCCAGUUGGUGCUGUGGCUGUUCUUCAGUGGGAUGCCUGAGAAGAGACCAGGUUAACUGGGAGCUAGCUGCCCUUACAGAGCAAUUGCCUAACAUGCAAGUCCUGAUGGAAAAACAAUGCUCCUGCUGUGAGGGGAAAAUCUCUCAUCCCUGGGAAAAGGGCUGGGAAUAUGUCCUCACUGAUGUUGCCUUCCUUUAGAGGCUCCAAGGUUCUGUCUUCACUGUCCUGCAGAUGGGAAGCUGAGGCAGAGAACAAAAUUUCAUUGAUUUUCAUCCAUGGCAGAAGAGCUCCUUGGUGGAAAGGAGGCAGGGACCUGCAUCUGAGGUUAAUGCCCUCACCUAUGAUAUGUAUCGCCUCUUCACUACAGGCUCUCAUGGAGACUCCUGUGGUUUUGGGGAAAAUCAUUUGAUCUGGAUCAGGCUCAGGAAGCUUCAUGAUGGAUUUCAAGUAAUAAAUGGCAGCAAAAUAGGAAAGGAGAAAGGAAAGCCUGGUUCCUGAGUUCCUGAGCAGAGAGACAUUUGCACACAUCUUUAUCUGUGAAGGUUUCCUCAGUAUUUAUCAUUGAUGUAAACUCUUCUCUCUGAACCGCACCCAAAAUGCCAGCUGGCUCCAGCAGACUGAGGGAGGCACACUAGUGAAGUCUAAUGAAAGCCCAGGCACAAAUCCCAAAACUGACACUCACCCCAGUCUCAUGUAGGAUUGUGAGCUGCUGUUUCCUCACAGAUUAGCAGAGGGCAGUGAGAUUUUGGGGUUUUUCUCCAGUGUUGGGGUAUCACUGCUUAGUAAGCACUCCCUCCAAUUGACUGCAGCCUGCCUGUGGUUGCAGGGUUGACCAAGCUGUAUGGACCUUGAGUCAGCCAGAGAAGAAAUGGUCAUUACUUCUUCCUUUAGUUUUUGUUAUUUAUUCCUUUCAGGAUAAUAGAGUUCUCCCCUUCCCACUUUUGUAAUUCUCACAAGAUCCUGCAGUCCAGAAAACACUGUCCUUAAAGAUAAAAUGUGAAAAUAAGCAGAAAUCAUUAUAUAAGUCAGAGAAUAUUGCAGUUAAUCAGCAGGACUGCCUGACUGGCCUCCCUCUGCACUGCCCAAGAAAGUGCCAAUAAAACUAGAUGGAUAUGUGACUUGAUACUGGUGCCUGAACACAUUAGUCAUUUUUAAUCUUUUCAUUUUGCAAUAAUUAAGGCAUCAACUCUGCCCUUUCUGUCUGAGGGAAAGUUUAUAAUGCUUGGAAGCACCUGGGUAUGAAAAAUACUUUUAUUGAUGUCUUUUCAGACUGUGCUUUGACACAACGAGGGCUCCAGUGCUCCUAAGAGAAUGCAUUCCCACUCAGCACCAGCCCUAGGCUCCUGGCACCUCACAGCUGGGUUUAUAGGGGAGCAGAGCUGGCCUGGCUAUAGUGCUCACACAAAACUGGAUCCUGUCUUCCUUUGCACUAUGAACACAUGGCCCAGCUUUUCCUGGGCAUUUGAAUGCCUCUUCCCUCCCAUUUAGGGGGGAAUGCAAGCAUGCUGAAUGUGGCCUGAGGAUUAGAUGCACUCCAAAAGUCUUAGGGACCAAGAAUAGGCAUAAUUUCAGGUGAACUAGUGGGAAAUCUGAGUGGCUUCAUGUGCACCCUUGAUGGCUCUGAGCUGGGCAGCAUCCAAGUUUACCUCCAUUUCUACACUGCUAUAGAGCACCAGCCCUCCACCUCUGAAGUCUGAGAUCCACAGCUCUGGGGCUGUAGAAGAAGAUGACAGUGACACUGUGAUUUCUAUUCACAUGCAUCACAAAACCUGCAGCACGGCCUCCUAUUUAAAUAGCAAACUUUUGCCAAAACACAAAUGCCUCCUACGAGACUCGGGGUGCCCCUAGCUUGCACCUAAAUGACUCACAGCCACAGGCACUUGCCACCUCCCAGGAGGUGCUGAGCAGUGGGUAGCAUGACACCAGGAAAACUACACUGGGGCAACAGAGGUCCAUGACUGGAGGGUGUUGUAAGUGCUGUGUGCUGGAAGUGUGGUAUAGCACCUGUUUCACAAGGUCUUGCUGGAAUUGAUGCUAUUAAUCCCCUGCUUCCAUGGGUACUAAAUGCACCCGCAGAAUGAGAAAGUAGCAUCUCACUGAUCAAAGCCAGCUCUGUCGCUUUUGCAUCCACUUUGCUAUUAUUCACACCUCACAGCUGGAUCAGCGUGUGACACACUGCAGUCCUUCAUUUUUCUUGCUCUGGAUUACAAGUGUUUUUAAGGUUUACCUGCUUGGAGAAAUAACACAUUUUACCCAGCGAUAAAUCUACUUUUUAUUUGUUCAGAAGGCCAGCUCGGAUUACUAAUUCAAAGAUGAUGAAUGAAUUAACUAUUUGAUGGAUCAAAGUAGAACAAUAUAUUUUGGGUGUUUGUUACACCAGGGAGGGUGCAUAACAGGUUAGUCCAUUGAAGAUUUAUUUUAUUUUUACAUUUCUUGAUUUCAAAACAAUAAAAUGCUGCUCAUGGGUAAACUUCCUAAACAAAGGAGACUGCCAAUGGGCCUGACAACGUUUCCUUGGUAACAUUUCUUAGCUUUUACCCCAGUGAUUGAUAUCCAAGGAUAGCCAUUUGCUUUCUGCAGAGGAGCAGGAGAAUAUGGCUCGAUGAUUCUCUUCCUGGCUCCUGAAAGCAGAGAGAGGAGAAACAAUCCACUACAGCUGAUGUGGCUUUACUCAUUAGUAAAAAACAAGUAAGCAAGCAAGCAAACAAACAAACAAAACCCAAAUACAAAACAAAGCAAAACAAUACAACAAAAAUUACCUAGGAAAAAAAUAGGAGACAAAUUGCACUUGGAACUUGAUCCAAAAAUCCCACUGUACUUGACAGAAAAUCUCUGUCUUGACAGGUCUUCAGACUAGAUCCCUGAAGUGUGUUUAAUACUCAUCUUAAUCUGAAUACAUUUCUCUGCUCUUCUCUUUGCUUUAUUUGAUUAAAAACCUUUCAUGCAAAGUUUCCUUUUUCUGUUUGUGCUCCCAGGCCCACCAUUUGUAGGGAGCCCUCAAAGCCACCUGCCUUGAGAAAUGGGAAACCAUGGGAGGCUGGGUCCUGUUCUGAUUUUACAGUAAGAUAUUCCCAAAUUUAAGGCAAUAAAGGAAAACUGCAUUUUCAAGCCCAGUCAGAGCUAGUCAAAAAGCGGGUUUAAGUGUGUGAGGGAGAUGUAAAGUGUCCAAAUGGUGCCACUCAUGCCAAAGCCCUUUGCAGUCACAGAAGUGACAACACUCGUGCAGUGAUUAUGACUGCUAACAAAGGUGCCCAGCUACCAGUGGUCCACAAUACUGCCAGCUUCAGUCAGUGACAACUGCACAUCAAACACCACAGUGACCGUCAAAUUAUUGCUGAAGACACAGGAAAUAGCCUUCCCUCUCCAACACACUCAUGGCUCUCCACUAUGGCUAGGGCUGAGCAGAUGAAGAGGACUUGGGUUACUUUGCAGCUCCUCAACACAAUCCAAGGAUCUGGAGAGAGAUCUGGGAGAGAAGUGAUGCUCAGGGGCAAGGAUGUUUUGGCUCCAUUUGCUUCUCCUUGACCUCAUUUGCUUCUCCUUGGCCAACACAGUUCCAUUUCCAGGGGACUUGAGGCUGUAUGGCUCUGCACUGUUUGUCAUGUCCUUCCCAGGUUUCUUUUCCUUGCUAAGCAUUUUCCCCCAUCUUUCCCUUUUUUAGGGUUUGAAAUGAAGGUAGUUGCAGCUCUGUCCCUUAAAAGAGGGGCUGCCAGCUUCAGCAGGGAUAUAUUAGCAAUAUAUUUCUUCCACAGGGUUAUGGGAAGAAACAGGAUAUGGCUAUCUGGACACCUCAGAAAUCAUUGCAGCCAGACAGAUUAAUGAGCCCUCACUCCUUUGUGGCCCUCUAAAUGCCACCAUCGACCAUGAGGCUCUUGGUUGACAGCAGGAGGCGAGCAGAGGCUGGUGUGGCCAGCUAAUGGCCUGCUCCCCCAGCCCAGACAGCAACGCUCACGGAGGAUGUGGCCCCUUGCUGCUUCCACGGCUGCUGCGGCCAGAGGCGUGUGCGGCAGCUGGGAGGCUGAGGGAAAGACUGAUGGACUCCUGAAGGACAAGCAGUGGGAUCACAGCAUGCCUCGCUUCUGUCAGGGAAGGGGCUAAAUCGAUGAACACACAACAAAUCAAUUCUGUUGGGGUUUUUUUUUGGUAAUGUGAUCUUUUCCAUUAGGAUGCUCACCAAUGAUCCAUUAAUAGCUCAUUCAACUGCCAGUGCUGGGUGGUACCCAAGGCCUGAGGAAAUGUAAAAUUUAAAAAAAAAAUAUAGUAAUUGAUCCAGAGAAUUGUAUAAUCAUAUGAUACAAGUGGCAGAUUUUAUUUUUGUAAGCUGAGUACCUUAUUUCCUGAAGCCUGAGAUACAUUCACACACUAUGGAAGCAUUAUAUUACUUAUAAAAUUAUCCAGUCCUUUUUAUAAUCCAGCAUCAGUACAGCCUGUCCCAAAUAACUCUUUUUAAGAUGCGCUCCACAGGCAUAUUAUGUACCUAAUUAUUUCUCUUUGUUUUUCUCUACUAUUUAUUUCAUCUGGUGUCUCCCUCUUUCCAGUGACAAAUUGUCUGUACUUGGAGACAUAAAUAAAGCCGAUUAAUCCUUUAAGGACACCCUCCAUGUCCCAGCUUCAGCA